rnacentral:rRNA from 1 species
CAGCAGCCGCGGUAAUACGGAGGGGGCUAGCGUUGUUCGGAAUUACUGGGCGUAAAGCGCACAUAGGCGGCUUGGUAAGUUAGAGGUGAAAGCCCGGAGCUCAACUCCGGAAUUGCCUUUAAGACUGCCGAGCUAGUAGGUGAGAGAGGUAAGUGGAAUUCCGAGUGUAGAGGUGAAAUUCGUAGAGAUCGGAAGGAACAUCUGUGGCGAAGGCGACUAUCUGGGCCAACACUGACACUGAGGCACGAAAGCGUGGGGAGCAAACAGGAUUAGAUACCCCAGUAGUCCCUGUCUCUUAUAC